UCUGAAACUUAUUAUUAGCCGUCUUUUUUUGGUU
rnacentral:sRNA from 1 species